AGUGAACGCUGGCGGUAGGCCUAACACAUGCAAGUCGAACGGCAGCACAGGAGAGCUUGCUCUUUGGGUGGCGAGUGGCGGACGGGUGAGGAAUACAUCGGAAUCUACUCUGUCGUGGGGGAUAACGUAGGGAAACUUACGCUAAUACCGCAUACGACCUACGGGUGAAAGCAGGGGAUCUUCGGACCUUGCGCGAUUGAAUGAGCCGAUGUCGGAUUAGCUAGUUGGCGGGGUAAAGGCCCACCAAGGCGACGAUCCGUAGCAGGUCUGAGAGGAUGAUCAGCCACACUGGAACUGAGACACGGUCCAGACUCCUACGGGAGGCAGCAGUGGGAAUAUUGGACAAUGGGCGCAAGCCUGAUCCAGCCAUACCGCGUGGGUGAAGAAGGCCUUCGGGUUGUAAAGCCCUUUUGUUGGGAAAGAAAUCCAGCUGGCUAAUACCCGGUUGGGAUGACGGUACCCAAAGAAUAAGCACCGGCUAACUUCGUGCCAGCCGCCGCAGUAA
rnacentral:rRNA from 1 species